GUAUGUAGAACUGUCUGUGGAGGAUUUGCGGACGCGGGUUCGAUUCCCGCCAGCUCCACCA
rnacentral:tmRNA from 1 species